rnacentral:rRNA from 1 species
UUCUGAACCCCGCCCAUGCCUCCUUCUCCGGAAGAGGAAGGGAUUUAAUUUCAAUUCAUCGGCCUCAGAUUGGUAGGACUACCCGCUGAACUUAAGCAUAUCAAUAAGCGGAGGAAAAGAAACUAACAAGGAUUCCCCUAGUAACGGCGAGUGAAGAGGGAAGAGCCCAAGAUUGAAAGCUGGCGUCUUCGGCGUCCGCAUUGUAAUCUCAAGAAGUGUUUUCCGCUUCGGACCAAGCCUAAGUCCCCUGGAAAGGGGCAUCAUAGAGGGUGAUAAUCCCGUACAUGGCUUGGAGCGCCCGAGGCUUUGUGAUACGCUUUCUAAGAGUCGAGUUGUUUGGGAAUGCAGCUCAAAAUGGGUGGUAAAUGCCAUCUAAGGCUAAAUAUUGGGGAGAGACCGAUAGCGAACAAGUACAGUGAUGGAAAGAUGAAAAGAACUUUGAAAAGAGAGUUAAACAGUACGUGAAAUUGCCAAAAGGGAAGGGUAGGAGGUCAGAGAUGCGGCCUGGGAUUCAGCCUUGCUUUUGCUUGGUGUUUUUCCCAGAUUGCAGGCCAACGUCGGUUUUGGGCACUGGAGAAGGGUAGGAGGAACGUGGCACCCCUCGGGGUGUGUUAUAGCCUCCUACUGGAUACAGCGACCGAGACCGAGGACAGCAGCGUACUCGCAAGAGCGGGCCUUCGGGCACCUUUACGCUUAGGGCGUUGGCAUAAUGGCCCUCUACCACCCGUCUUGAAACACGGACCAAGGAGUCUAACAUGUAUGCGAGUCUUUGGGUGGCAAACCCAUAGGCGCAAUGAAAGUGAAUUCACGUGGGAUCCGCAAGGUGCACCAUCGACCGAUC